GCCGCUUUUGAGGAGGCCCCGUAUCGCUGAUAGCUGGUCCUAAUCGUAUUCCUACGAAAGACUCUAUAGAACAAAAGCUAAUAACGUCGUCGCCGCCAUCGUCAUCGACCUCGUCGUCGUCAUCAUCAUCGUCAUCGCUGAACUCAGUCUUCAAAGCCGCUGCGAGUUACUUAUGGAAAUUGUUGUUAGAAGGCCAAUUUUGAGUCCUGCAGCAGAUGCUUUCACGGAUAAGAAGCCUAGAGUGAAAUCUAAAUCUCAGGGUCAUUUUGCACGAGAUAAGGAAAUCUCCAAACAUUGGCAAGGUCGACAGCAAAUCCAAUAACAGACAAGAGAAAGUCAACUUUGCCGGACCAAGUCUCCCUGCCAUCAACGCCGCCAUUCAUCUUUGGAUGAUUUUUCACCACCCUUGACGACAUGUCUUACCGUUCUGUAAUAAACAAAUUGAUUCGUUCAAAAUCAUUUUUCCUACAGAAUUAAGGAAACGAAGCAAGCAACAAACGAAAUUUGACGAUUUGUGGCUUAUCUACUGACUAUUUGAUACUUAUAAAUUUGUUAAUCAAGAAAAUUUCAGCGAACAUGUAAUAUUAUCGAAAUAUUGGAUUAUUUGGAAAGCUAUGUACAUAUU
rnacentral:misc_RNA from 1 species